ensembl:lncRNA
AUGAGCGUAGACAAUAAUGAUACAAAAGCCUUAACAGCAUGGAAAAUGACCACACAAUCACUCCCCCUCCCUUUUUUUACAUUUACAGAAGGACAAAUAAGCAAGCUGUUGCCUGGCUGUGGCCAUGUCUUCAUGUCUAAUGGAAUCUUCUACCAAAUUCCCUUUAAUAUUUCCAGCAGCAACGAGGCUUAUCGGGAAGAUAAGGGCAGCAGGAAACAGUGGCCUCAGGAUGGAGAGUGUGGAUGGAGUACAUCAUUUGUUCAGUGAGAACGAGAGGUAAAAAUUAAGUUAUUUUCUUCAGAGUUAACACCGUAGAGCUAGAUUUGGAGAGAUAAGGCAUGGGAGUGAAACUUUAUUUGAGUUGCUCUGUUUAUGAGAGUCCUUAACAUUGAUUAAUCAUUCCUCAUCUCUAAAAAGCACUUCAUAUCCGUUCCCUUGAAAUUGCUUUCUGUCUAAAAGUGUCAGCCAACUUGCAUAAAGUAAUAAUCCUGCUGUCUGGUAACAUAAAUCUGUAUGAUUUACAGUGCUGUCUCACCAAAAGUCAUGGUGUGGUACUAUUUUAGGUGUAAAGCAAGAAGUUCUGUUCCCAAGAGAUGUUUGAUUGACAGUUCUUCAUAUUAGUCACUAUCAAAAGGUCAACAUCACUUUAACAAGCAUUGCUUUCCUCCAGUCUGAGAAAAAGACAAAUGCAGAGGAUGAGGAGUGAGGAAGAAAAAGACAAAAAAAAAAUUUCACACAAUCAUUUACAUUUUUGCAUUUCAUAAAUUUUUAAAUUCCAUUUUUAUUAUAUUUUUCAAGCUCUGCAGUCCUUAAAGGGACAUUUGGACCUCACAAUGGAGACAAAAUCAUUCAGACAGCCUUAAAGUCUUUUUUAUCACUACCACUCUGUUUUAUAACAAGAAAAAGAGCGUUUUAUCCUAUAAAACGGGGACAAACCACCAAAAAUAUUCCUGGUUUCAGCAGUCUAACACUGUGGUCUCAAGACUUCAGAUCCAAACCACAAUUUAAUCUCUACAUCUCAAUGGAAUGAUGUAAUCUCAACCGGCAGAGCUUUUCCUUCUUCUCUCCUUACCCGUUGACUUCACAUUCAUCUCUCUCUUGUUUGGGUAAGAGAGCUCUGAGCCAGUGCUACCUAUGUAGUUCUUCCUCAGAUUAGUGUGAAUGCUACGCUUCAAAAAGAUAUAGACUGUAGAUGUAAUGACUUUGGCUUUUUCCCCCGGAGCUCUCAGAGGGCUUGACAAUGUUUGUGUUUGUGCUAUGAGGGCAAUGUGGGUUUUAGCAGGGCUCAGAACGGCGAUAGAAAAUGAGAUGCUUGGUUUGAAAACACUCAUGUGUGCGUGAGGAGUGUCUAGUGGAAAUUCCUGCUCUCCGUUUUGCACGUUUUCCAGAGGCAGUGUGGCCUGCUACCUAUCAGCUUAAUAAUAAAAAUAAAAAAAAAUGCAAGGACAAAUUCCUCAUUCUUUGCCUCAUUUGCACCAGACUGUGCACAUCUGCACAACCUCCGUCAUAUUCUUAUCUUAAUGUUGUAAUUUUGUCUCUCAAGGCCCAUUAAAUUCUGAAAUCUGUUGUAAAUAAAGUUCUACAUGUUGAAAAAGUUUUACUGAUCAUUUGAGACACUGUGCCACAGCACUACAGUAAGUCAUGUCAUCACGCACUAUAUUUUUAUGUCAUAUUCCAAAUGUACCAUGAUAAAAAACACUGGGUUUUAUUCAUGCAAAUCGACUAUCGUAACUGUCCAGUUGCUGCAACUUGACACCGGUAAUAACUCACAACAAACGACACAGUAUAACAUUACUCUUCUUUAAACCGAUUUAUUCUGCUAUCACGUUCAUCCAUCUCCGAUCUGUGACCAAUGAGGGAGGAUGUGGACAGACUCGCCGUCUGUCUUUGACAUUAGGCUGCUUUUACAGUAUGAAUGCCUGUUUGUGAGCGGGAAGAAUCAUAAAUGGAAUGAUCUAUUGGAAAAGGAAUGGAUGACCAGACAAUGUCAAGGGCAUGAGUCUCUUUGAGUUAUGCUUCCUCAUGCGCAUGAGACUAGGUGCUCACACAAUGGAUCAUUUCAGAACCUUAUAGUCCUUACACUAACGGUAAAUUCUUGCCAUUCCAGAUUCUCCCAAGGGGCACGCUCGUCUGGGAUGCUCGUGGAUGGGAUUCUCACACCUGCUGGACCGCUGUAUCUUCUGAUUUUGAUUAAUUUUAGCCAGCUGAUGGAUAUUGAUUUGGGCGUCAUAUUUCUUCUCUGUGUUUUGUCAAUCUAAAUGAGACGGAAAAUGAGAAUUAAAAGUGAGCCGGAAUUCUUAGGCAUGAUAAAUAUAAAUUACGAUAUUCUUUAGGGAUUUUUUGGAUAGGACUUAAAUCUGUUGAAGACUCUAGCCAAAAAUGAUAUGAUAUUCAAUUUCAGAGGACUAGUUACUCGUUUGUCAUUUAGAUGAUCCUUUUAUCUAAAGUAAUUUAUAAUACACUUUAUAUAGGUUCGGUUUCUCUGAAACAUUCCAUUUGGUUUCCCAGAAAGAUUGUUAAUGGUGUGUGAAAUCAAAACGGAGGUUUUAUUGAUGAGAAAUUUAGGCCAUGAACUUUAACUUUGAGAACGUCUACGUGUUAAAGCUGAUUAACUUUUAGCAAAUAUACUUUUAUACAUUCAUUUUCAUUGCAUGAAAUAAUGCUAUUUAUUCUUAAUUAUUAUUAUUAUUUUUUUUUUUGGUCAAAUUUUCCAGUUAAAAUCCUUUAAAGGGGUCAUCGGAUGCACUUUUACAAGCUGUUUGAACUGAAAUGUGUGUUGGCAGUGUGUGUACACAACCACCCCAUAAUGAUAAAAAUCCACCCAGUGUUUUUUUUUUUUUUUUAAUCUCGUUAAAUCAUUUGCCCUUUUUCAGAUCAAGCUGAUCUCAGAGGCCUGUUUGUGUGACGUCAUACAGACAAGCCCCGACCACGAUAGUUUGAUUGACAGCAGCGUUUCAGCACAGACUGGACCCGCCCUGAGUGAGCUGUCAUCAGUCCGCCAUUGUUUCACAACUGGAGCAGAUGUAGACAAGAACGUCUCCUAAGUGAUUGAGGUGUUCUGUUGUUGGGUGUAAUAAUGAACAUAGCAGUCGUCAUUUACUCCCGACAUCUGAGCCACUGAAGACGCAGUGGAUUACAUUUGUUUUUGAAGGGAAUGCACCCCAGAUCUACCUAAAUGUGUCUAUCUUCAUGUGAAUCAUUCAUGAUCCAACUUCACCAACAGAAGAAGUGAGUAAAAGUUUUUUUUUUUUUUUAAUGAAUCUUUGCAAAUCGCCUUUCCCAAUAAUGUGCUAAUUAGCAAGUUUCACAAUAAAUGCAGUCAAAGUAAACAGUCUGUCUGAGAGCGGCUCAGAAGAGUUGGGCGGGGUCAGCAGAGCUCGUUUGCAUUUUAAGGAAAAUGCUACCAAACGGCUUGCUCUGAAAAGAGCUAUUUUUGACUGGGUAAAAAAGGUGUUGUUUUACACUACCAUUGAGAAAUUUAAACCAAACUAUGUUACAGACUUUUCAUUAAGACCCUAAAGAAUCAUAUAAACUUGUGGAAAAUGGGCAUCUGAUGACCCCUUUAAACAAGACAAAUUUAGUUAAAAAGCAACAUUUUCAGAGAAUGUGAGUGCAUUUUCAGUUGAGACAAAAACACACAUUGAAGACAGAAUUACUAAUAUGCAGUGUUGCCUUUCAAGCAAAUUUAUCUUUAUUUAAGGAUUUUUAUAUAUUUCACUGAAAAACUCAUUAGAAACUUACUGAGAAGUCAUUUUUUUCAAUGUAUGUCAUAUGAAUGUUUGACUGUGGUCUAUCAUGAAUAUCUGCUUUUCUGCUUUUUUGCAUGCUGUGUAGCAAGGAUAUAUGCAAAGCAACUGUCUCUGGUGCAUUAUGUGCAGUUGUGAAUGCUUUCUACCUUUUUCAGAGCAAAACAAUCAGGUCCUCAAAACACCUUCUGUGACCUUUUAAUGACACACAGGUCAUUGCAAUUUGUGUGAAAUAAACCAUUACAUUUUGAGCUCCCUCCGGUCAGUUGGUACAUUGUCAAAUAAAUGAAUAGUACCAGACUGCAUUUCCUGUUAAGUAACUUUGAUGUUAUUUGACGUGAAGCCGACAUACGUGAUCACAUGCACACAUACGCUCUCUCCUCACCAUAGUACUUCAAAGCGUGUUGGGAGAGAGUUUAAUAGAGACAG